rnacentral:rRNA from 1 species
GGUUAAGCGACUAAGCGUACACGGUGGAUGCCCUGGCAGUCAGAGGCGAUGAAGGACGUGCUAAUCUGCGAAAAGCGUCGGUAAGGUGAUAUGAACCGUUACAGCCGGCGAUGUCCGAAUGGGGAAACCCAGUGUGAUUCGUCACACUAUCGUUAACUGAAUACAUAGGUUAACGAGGCGAACCGGGGGAACUGAAACAUCUAAGUACCCCGAGGAAAAGAAAUCAACCGAGAUUCCCCCAGUAGCGGCGAGCGAACGGGGAGCAGCCCAGAGUCUGAAUCAGCUUGUGUGUUAGUGGAACGGUCUGGAAAGUCCGACGGUACAGGGUGAUAGUCCCGUACACCAAAAUGCACAGGCUGUGAACUCGAAGAGUAGGGCGGGACACGUGGUAUCCUGUCUGAAUAUGGGGGGACCAUCCUCCAAGGCUAAAUACUCCUGACUGACCGAUAGUGAACCAGUACCGUGAGGGAAAGGCGAAAAGAACCCCGGCGAGGGGAGUGAAAAAGAACCUGAAACCGUGUACGUACAAGCAGUGGGAGCACCUUCGGGUGUGACUGCGUACCUUUUGUAUAAUGGGUCAGCGACUUAUAUUCUGUAGCAAGGUUAACCGUAUAGGGGAGCCGCAGGGAAACCGAGUCUUAACUGGGCGUUAAGUUGCAGGGUAUAGACCCGAAACCCGGUGAUCUAGCCAUGGGCAGGUUGAAGGUUGGGUAACACUAACUGGAGGACCGAACCGACUAAUGUUGAAAAAUUAGCGGAUGACUUGUGGCUGGGGGUGAAAGGCCAAUCAAACCGGGAGAUAGCUGGUUCUCCCCGAAAGCUAUUUAGGUAGCGCCUCGUGAACUCAUCUUCGGGGGUAGAGCACUGUUUCGGCUAGGGGGUCAUCCCGACUUACCAACCCGAUGCAAACUACGAAUACCGAAGAAUGUUAUCACGGGAGACACACGGCGGGUGCUAACGUCCGUCGUGAAGAGGGAAACAACCCAGACCGCCAGCUAAGGUCCCAAAGUCACAGUUAAGUGGGAAACGAUGUGGGAAGGCACAGACAGCCAGGAUGUUGGCUUAGAAGCAGCCAUCAUUUAAAGAAAGCGUAAUAGCUCACUGGUCGAGUCGGCCUGCGCGGAAGAUGUAACGGGGCUAAACUGUGCACCGAAGCUGCGGCAGCGACACUAUGUGUUGUUGGGUAGGGGAGCGUUCUGUAAGCCUGCGAAGGUGGCCUGUGAGGGUUGCUGGAGGUAUCAGAAGUGCGAAUGCUGACAUAAGUAACGAUAAUGCGGGUGAAAAGCCCGCACGCCGGAAGACCAAGGGUUCCUGUCCAACGUUAAUCGGGGCAGGGUGAGUCGACCCCUAAGGCGAGGCCGAAAGGCGUAGUCGAUGGGAAACAGGUUAAUAUUCCUGUACUUGGUGUUACUGCGAAGGGGGGACGGAGAAGGCUAUGUUAGCCGGGCGACGGUUGUCCCGGUUUAAGCAUGUAGGCGGAGGUUCCAGGUAAAUCCGGUACCUUUUAACGCUGAGGUGUGAUGACGAGGCACUACGGUGCUGAAGUAACAAAUGCCCUGCUUCCAGGAAAAGCCUCUAAGCAUCAGGUAACAUUGAAUCGUACCCCAAACCGACACAGGUGGUCAGGUAGAGAAUACCAAGGCGCUUGAGAGAACUCGGGUGAAGGAACUAGGCAAAAUGGUGCCGUAACUUCGGGAGAAGGCACGCUGAUAUGUAGGUGAAGCCCCUGCGGGUGGAGCUGAAAUCAGUCGAAGAUACCAGCUGGCUGCAACUGUUUAUUAAAAACACAGCACUGUGCAAACACGAAAGUGGACGUAUACGGUGUGACGCCUGCCCGGUGCCGGAAGGUUAAUUGAUGGGGUUAUCCGUAAGGAGAAGCUCUUGAUCGAAGCCCCGGUAAACGGCGGCCGUAACUAUAACGGUCCUAAGGUAGCGAAAUUCCUUGUCGGGUAAGUUCCGACCUGCACGAAUGGCGUAAUGAUGGCCAGGCUGUCUCCACCCGAGACUCAGUGAAAUUGAACUCGCUGUGAAGAUGCAGUGUACCCGCGGCAAGACGGAAAGACCCCGUGAACCUUUACUAUAGCUUGACACUGAACAUUGAGCCUUGAUGUGUAGGAUAGGUGGGAGGCUUUGAAGCGUGGACGCCAGUCUGCGUGGAGCCAACCUUGAAAUACCACCCUUUAAUGUUUGAUGUUCUAACGUUGGCCCCUUAUCGGGGUUGCGGACAGUGUCUGGUGGGUAGUUUGACUGGGGCGGUCUCCUCCCAAAGAGUAACGGAGGAGCACGAAGGUUAGCUAAUCCUGGUCGGACAUCAGGAGGUUAGUGCAAUGGCAUAAGCUAGCUUGACUGCGAGCGUGACGGCGCGAGCAGGUGCGAAAGCAGGUCAUAGUGAUCCGGUGGUUCUGAAUGGAAGGGCCAUCGCUCAACGGAUAAAAGGUACUCCGGGGAUAACAGGCUGAUACCGCCCAAGAGUUCAUAUCGACGGCGGUGUUUGGCACCUCGAUGUCGGCUCAUCACAUCCUGGGGCUGAAGUAGGUCCCAAGGGUAUGGCUGUUCGCCAUUUAAAGUGGUACGCGAGCUGGGUUUAGAACGUCGUGAGACAGUUCGGUCCCUAUCUGCCGUGGGCGCUGGAGAAUUGAGGGGGGCUGCUCCUAGUACGAGAGGACCGGAGUGGACGCAUCACUGGUGUUCGGGUUGUCAUGCCAAUGGCAUUGCCCGGUAGCUAAAUGCGGAAGAGAUAAGUGCUGAAAGCAUCUAAGCACGAAACUUGCCCCGAGAUGAGUUCUCCCUGAGACUUUAAGUCUCCUGAAGGAACGUUAAAGACGAUGACGUUGAUAGGUCGGGUGUGUAAGCGUAGCGAUACGUUGAGCUAACCGAUACUAAUGAACCGUGAGGCUUAACCUU